CCGCGUCUUACACCGAGGAUGUUCAUAACCCUUUGUUGUCCGACUCUGUUGCCUCCGGGGCGACCCUGCCUUCGGGCGGGGGCUCCGGGUGGACACUUCAAACUCUUGCGUAACUUUGCAGUCUGAGUAAACUUAAUUAAUAAAUUAAAACUUUUAACAACGGAUCUCUUGGUUCUGGCAUCGAUGAAGAACGCAGCGAAAUGCGAUAAGUAAUGUGAAUUGCAGAAUUCAGUGAAUCAUCGAAUCUUUGAACGCACAUUGCGCCCCCUGGUAUUCCGGGGGGCAUGCCUGUUCGAGCGUCAUUUCACCACUCAAGCCUCGCUUGGUAUUGGGCAACGCGGUCCGCCGCGUGCCUCAAAUCGACCGGCUGGGUCUUCUGUCCCCUAAGCGUUGUGGAAACUAUUCGCUAAAGGGUGUUCGGGAGGCUACGCCGUAAAACAACCCCAUUUCUAAGGUUGACCUCGGAUCAGGUAGGGAUACCCGCUGAACUUAAGCAUAUCAA
rnacentral:rRNA from 1 species